AUUCUGGUUUUCUCGAAGAACAAGGAAGAUCAUGCCAAGCACUUGCGUUUGGUUCUUGAUAAGCUCAGAGAACAUCAGUUCUACGCCAAGUUCUCCAAGUGUGAAUUUUGGCUUGAUGAGGUUCUUUAUCUUGGCCAUAUCAUCUCUGCCAAGGGCAUUGCCGUGAAUCCUGAGAAGGUGUCUGCAAUUGUGAAUUGGGAACCUCCUCAGAAUGUGAAGCAACUCUGCAGUUUUCUCGGUCUCGCAAGCUAUUGCCGAAGAUUCGUUGAAAACUUUUCUAAGAUCGCGAAGCCUCUCUCAAAUCUUCUUCAG
rnacentral:rRNA from 1 species